UAAAUGUGGCAAGGUAGAAUAGAAAC
rnacentral:piRNA from 1 species